AGGACGAACGCUGGCGGCGUGCCUCAUACAUGCAAGUGGAGCGACGAACCAGGAUUUAUCCUGGGGCAAAGCCGCGAACGGGUGAGUAACACGUGGGUUACCUGCCCCGAUGAUUGGGACAACCCGAGGAAACUCGGGCUAAUACCAAAUGUGUUCUUGGUCGUGAUGACCAAGAAGAAAGGAAGCCUCGGCCUCCGCAUCGGGAUGGGCCCGCGGCCCAUUAGCUAGUUGGUGGGGUAAUGGCCUACCAAGGCGACGAUGGGUAGCUGGUCUGAGAGGACGAUCAGCCACACUGGGACUGAGACACGGCCCAGACUCCUACGGGAGGCAGCAGUCGAGAAUUUUUUCACAAUGGACGAAAGUCUGAUGGAGCGACGCCGCGUGGAGGAUGAAGGUUUUCGGAUUGUAAACUCCUGUCACUGCAGAACAAGGGUGCGUUUAUGAAUAGUAAAUGCAUUUGAUGGUAUGCGGAGAGGAAGGGACGGCUAACGUCUGUG
rnacentral:rRNA from 1 species